AUUGAACGCUGGCGGCAUGCCUUACACAUGCAAGUCGAACGGUAACGGGCCUUCGGGCGCCGACGAGUGGCGAACGGGUGAGUAAUGCAUCGGAACGUACCUUUCAGUGGGGGAUAACGUAGCGAAAGUUACGCUAAUACCGCAUAUUCUGUGAGCAGGAAAGCAGGGGAUCGCAAGACCUUGCGCUGAUUGAGCGGCCGAUGUCAGAUUAGCUAGUUGGUGAGGUAAAGGCUCACCAAGGCGACGAUCUGUAGCGGGUCUGAGAGGAUGAUCCGCCACACUGGAACUGAGACACGGUCCAGACUCCUACGGGAGGCAGCAGUGGGGAAUUUUGGACAAUGGGGGCAACCCUGAUCCAGCCAUGCCGCGUGAGUGAAGAAGGCCUCGGUU
rnacentral:rRNA from 1 species